rnacentral:rRNA from 1 species
UAGGGAAUAUUAGUAAUGGGCGAAAGCCUGAACUAGCAACGCCGCGUGUGCGAAGAAGGCCUUCGGGUUGUAAAGCACUUUUUGAGAGGAUGAGGAAGGACGGUACUCUCAGAAUAAGUCUCGGCUAACUACGUGCCAGCAGCCGCGGUAACACGUAGGAGGCGAACGUUAUCCGGAUUUACUGGGCGUAAAGCGCGUGUAGGUGGUUUGGUAAGUAGGGCGUGAAAGCUCCUGGCUCAACUGGGAGAGGCCGGUCUAAACUGCCGAACUCGAGGAUGGUGGAGGGGGGUGGGAUACCGGGUGUAGCGGUAGAAUGCGCAGAUAUCCGGAGGAACACCAGUGGCGAAAGCGGCCUCCUGGACCAAUCCUGACACUCAGACGCGAAAGCUAGGGUA